GCCUUCCCGGUGAGCCUGUGGGUUUAAACGGACGCGGUAAAGCGUGCUAAGGUAGCUAAAUUAUGGCCUAUUAAUUGUAGGUCCUGUGAAUGGUUUGACGAGUCUUCAACUGUCUCUAGUUUUUUUGAUGAACUUGAAUUGGAUGUGCAAAUGCUUCCAUGGGUAAGAAAGACGAGAAGACCCCGUGAAGUUAGAAAUUUUGGUUGUUGGUAAGCUUUAUAGGGGGUUAGUUAAACCACCCAUGGGUGGUUUAAAAAAAGCGAACAGCGGUAGUUUUGGCUGGGGCAGCAAAGAAGCAAGGCUAGACUUCUUUAGUUUAAAAGCAGGUGUGUGACGACCCACAUAGAUAUAAGUGUGAUUAGCAGAAGAAGUUACUCCGGGGAUAACA
rnacentral:rRNA from 1 species